rnacentral:misc_RNA from 1 species
AGACCGCAUCGAUAGUACGAAGCGCCUAUGCGGGGAAAUCAGUCUACUGGGCUGAUUUCUGAUCCCGCUUCGAUGUGCCGGAUAAGGCUUGAAAAUAAAGAAAUAGGGUGGAGGCCGCCAGAACGCCGCUCUGCCUAAAGUGGCUUGAAGCAGACUUUGGUGUGCCCGGCGCCGAUGAAGCCCAGACG